UACGGAGGGUGCAAGCGUUAUCCGGAUUUACUGGGGUUAAAGGGUGUGUAGGCGGACUUUUAAGUCCGUGGUGAAAUCUCCGGGCUCAACCCGGAAACUGCCAUUGAUACUAUUGGUCUUGAAUGUUGUUGAGGUGGGCGGAACUGGUCAUGUAGCGGUGAAAUGCGUAGAUAUGACCCGGAACACCGGUUGCGAAGGCAGCCCACUAAGCAAUGAUUGACGCUGAGGCACGAAAGCCUGGGGAGCAAACAGG
rnacentral:rRNA from 1 species